rnacentral:rRNA from 1 species
AUUGAACGCUGGCGGCAGGCCUAACACAUGCAAGUCGAACGAGUGGCGGACGGGUGAGUAAUGUCUGGGAAACUGCCUGAUGGAGGGGGAUAACUACUGGAAACGGUAGCUAAUACCGCAUACCAUCAGAUGUGCCCAGAUGGGAUUAGCUAGUUGGUGGGGUAACGGCUCACCAAGGCGACGAUCCCUAGCUGGUCUGAGAGGAUGACCAGACAGACUGGAACUGGGACACGGUCCAGACUCCGAAGGGAGGCAGCAGUGGGGAAUAUUGCACAGUGGGCGCAAGCCUGAUGCAGCCAAGACGAGUGUAAGAAGAAGGCCUUCGGGUUGUAAAGUACUUUCAGCUGGGAUGCGUUACCAGCAGAAGAAGCACCGGCUAACUACGUGCCAGCAGCCGCGGUAAUUC